UGCCAGACUCCUACGGGAGGCAGCAGUGGGGAAUAUUGCACAAUGGGGGAAACCCUGAUGCAGCAACGCCGCGUGAGUGAAGAAGUAUUUCGGUAUGUAAAGCUCUAUCAGCAGGGAAGAAGAAAGACGGUACCUGACUAAGAAGCCCCGGCUAACUACGUGCCAGCAGCCGCGGUAAUACGUAGGGGGCAAGCGUUAUCCGGAUUUACUGGGUGUAAAGGGAGCGUAGACGGCUGUGCAAGUCUGAAGUGAAAGUCCGUGGCUCAACCGCGGAACUGCUUUGGAAACUGUAUAGCUUGAGUACUGGAGAGGCAGGCGGAAUUCCUAGUGUAGCGGUGAAAUGCGUAGAUAUUAGGAGGAACACCAGUGGCGAAGGCGGCUUACUGGACUGUAACUGACGUUGAGGCUCGAAAGCGUGGGGAGCAAACAGGAUUAGAUACCCCGGUAAA
rnacentral:rRNA from 1 species